AUGAACGCUGGCGGCGUGCCUAAUACAUGCAAGUCGAGCGAAUGGAUUAAGAGCUUGCUCUUAUGAAGUUAGCGGCGGACGGGUGAGUAACACGUGGGUAACCUGCCCAUAAGACUGGGAUAACUCCGGGAAACCGGGGCUAAUACCGGAUAACAUUUUGAACCGCAUGGUUCGAAAUUGAAAGGCGGCUUCGGCUGUCACUUAUGGAUGGACCCGCGUCGCAUUAGCUAGUUGGUGAGGUAACGGGGGUAGCCCAGCUCACCAAGGCAACGAUGCGUAGCCGACCUGAGAGGGUGAUCGGCCACACUGGGACUGAGACACGGCCCAGACUCCUACGGGAGGCAGCAGUAGGGAAUCUUCCGCAAUGGACGAAAGUCUGACGGAGCAACGCCGCGUGAGUGAUGAAGGCUUUCGGGUCGUAAAACUCUGUUGUUAGGGAAGAACAAGUGCUAGUUGAAUAAGCUGGCACCUUGACGGUACCUAACCAGAAAGCUCACGGCUAACUACGUGCCAGCAGCCGCGGUAAUACGUAGGUGGCAAGCGUUAUCCGGAAUUAUUGGGCGUUAAAGCGCGCGCAGGUGGUUUCUUAAGUCUGAUGUGAAAGCCCACGGCUCAACCGUGGAGCGGGUCCUUGGAAACUGGGAGACUUGAGUGCAGAAGAGGAAAGUGGAAUUCCAUGUGUAGCGGUGAAAUGCGUAGAGAUAUGGAGGAACUCCCGAGGCGAAGGCGACUUUCUGGUCUGUAACUGACACUGAGGCGCGAAAGGGUGGGGAGCAAACAGGAUUAAAUACCCUGGUAGUCCACGCCGUAAACGAUGAGGGCUAAGUGUUAGAGGGUUUCCGCCCUUUAGUGCUGAAGUUAACGCAUUAAGCACUCCGCCUGGGGAGUACGGCCGCAAGGCUGAAACUCAAAGGAAUUGACGGGGGCCCGCACAUGCGGUGGAGCAUGUGGUUUAAUUCGAAGCAACGCGAAGAACCUUACCAGGUCUUGACAUCCUCUGACAACCCUAGAGAUAGGGCUUCUCCUUCGGGAGCAGAGUGACAGGUGGUGCAUGGUUGUCGUCAGCUCGUGUCGUGAGAUGUUGGGUUAAGUCCCGCAACGAGCGCAACCCUUGAUCUUAGUUGCCAUCAUUAAGUUGGGCACUCUAAGGUGACUGCCGGUGACAAACCGGAGGAAGGUGGGGAUGACGUCAAAUCAUCAUGCCCCUUAUGACCUGGGCUACACACGUGCUACAAUGGACGGUACAAAGAGCUGCAAGACCGCGAGGUGGAGCUAAUCUCAUAAAACCGUUCUCAGUUCGGAUUGUAGGCUGCAACUCGCCUACAUGAAGCUGGAAUCGCUAGUAAUCGCGGAUCAGCAUGCCGCGGUGAAUACGUUCCCGGGCCUUGUACACACCGCCCGUCACACCACGAGAGUUUGUAACACCCGAAGUCGGUGGGGUAACCUUUUUGGAGCCAGCCGCCUAAGGUGGGACAGAUGAUUGGGGUGAAGUCGUA
rnacentral:rRNA from 1 species